rnacentral:rRNA from 1 species
CCCUUUGAUACUCUGGGCGGUACGCGCGCUACACUGGUUUAUAUAACGUGUAAUUUGGACGAUAGUCUGUAUAAAUCACUAAUAUAAAACCGUGAAUGGGAUAGUUUAUUGCAACUUACAAACUUUGACUAGGAAUCCCUUGUAGAAGUAGUGAAUUAUACUGCUUCGAAUACGUCCCUGCCGAUUGUACACACCGCCCGUCGUUUCUUCCGACUGGUACUCAUUGUGAAUUGCGAGGAGAUUCUGUCAAAUCGUUGUAAAUGCUGGGUAUUGGAGGAAGAAAAAGUCGUAACA